rnacentral:rRNA from 1 species
AAAUCCCCGCAAGGGGAUGAGUAUAGUGGCGACCGGGUGAGUAACACGUGACUAACCUACCCUCGAGUGGGGAAUAACCUCGGGAAACCGAGGCUAAUACCGCAUAACAUCGCAAGAUCAAAGCAGCAAUGCGCUGGAAGAGGGGGUCGCGGCUGAUUAGCUAGUUGGCGGGGUAAUGGCCCACCAAGGCUAAGAUCGGUAUCCGGCCUGAGAGGGCGCACGGACACACUGGAACUGAAACACGGUCCAGACUCCUACGGGAGGCAGCAGUGGGGAAUUUUGCGCAAUGGGGGAAACCCUGACACAUCAUCGCCGCGUGGAGGAUGAAGCCCCUUGAG